CAGUCGCCGCGGUAAUACGAAGGGGGCUAGCGUUGCUCGGAAUGACUGGGCGUAAAGGGCGCGUAGGCGGUUUGUAUAGUUGGAUGUGAAAUUCCUGGGCUUAACCUGGGGGCUGCAUUCAAUACGUGCAGGCUUGAGUGUGGAAGAGGGUUGUGGAAUUCCCAGUGGAGAGGUGAGAUUCGUAGAUAUUGGGAAGAACACCGGUGGCGAAGGCGGCAACCUGGUCCAUUACUGACGCUGAGGCGCGAAAGCGUGGGGAGCAAACAGGAUUAGAUACCCCUGUAGUCCCUGUCUCUUAUAU
rnacentral:rRNA from 1 species